GACGAACGCUGGCGGCGUGCUUAACACAUGCAAGUCGAAUGGAAAGGCCUGCAGCUUGCUGCGGGUACUCGAGUGGCGAACGGGUGAGUAACACGUGGGUGAUCUGCCUUGCACUUCGGGAUAAGCUUGGGAAACUGGGUCUAAUACCGGAUAGGACAGCUGUUUAGUGUCAGUUGUGGAAAGUUUUUUCGGUGCAAGAUGAGCUCGCGGCCUAUCAGCUUGUUGGUGGGGUAAUGGCCUACCAAGGCGUCGACGGGUAGCCGGCCUGAGAGGGUGUACGGCCACAUUGGGACUGAGAUACGGCCCAGACUCCUACGGGAGGCAGCAGUGGGGAAUAUUGCACAAUGGGCGGAAGCCUGAUGCAGCGACGCCGCGUGGGGGAUGAAGGCCUUCGGGUUGUAAACUCCUUUCGACAGGGACGAAGCUUUUGUGACGGUACCUGUAUAAGAAGCACCGGCUAACUACGUGCCAGCAGCCGCGGUAAUACGUAGGGUGCGAGCGUUGUCCGGAAUUACUGGGCGUAAAGAGCUCGUAGGUGGUUUGUCGCGUCGUCUGUGAAAUUCCGGGGCUUAACUCCGGGCGUGCAGGCGAUACGGGCUGACUUGAGUGCUGUAGGGGAGACUGGAAUUCCUGGUGUAGCGGUGAAAUGCGCAGAUAUCAGGAGGAACACCGAUGGCGAAGGCAGGUCUCUGGGCAGUAACUGACGCUGAGGAGCGAAAGCAUGGGUAGCGAACAGG
rnacentral:rRNA from 1 species